GACAGAGGUGCCGAGCGUUAGGCGGAAUUACUGGGCGUAAAGCGUGCGUAGGCGGUGCCUCAAGUUUGGUGUGAAAUCUCCCGGCUCAACCGGGAGGGUGCGCCGAAAACUGAGGUGCUCGAGUGUGGGAGAGGUAAGCGGAAUUCCUGGUGUAGCGGUGAAAUGCGUAGAUAUCAGGAGGAACACCGGCGGUGUAGACGGCUUACUGGACCAUAACUGACGCUGAGGCACGAAAGUGUGGGGAGCAAACAGG
rnacentral:rRNA from 1 species